GAGUAUCAUGCCCUUCGGGGUAGAUCUCCACCCUUGAAUAACAUACCUUUGUUGCUUUGGCAGGACGCACUCGUGCCAGGGGCUUCGGCUCUUGAGUGCCUGCCAGAGAACCACAAACUCCGCAUCAUAGUUAUCGUCUGAGUCUGAUAUAAAUAUCUAAAACUUUCAACAACGGAUCUCUUGGUUCU
rnacentral:misc_RNA from 1 species